CCGAGUUUACAACUCCCAAACCCCUGUGAACAUACCUUUAUGUUGCCUCGGCGGAUCAGCCGCGCCCCCGUAAAACGGGACGGCCCGCCGCAGGAAACCCUAAACUCUGUUUUUAGUGGAACUUCUGAGUAUAAAAAACAAAUAAAUCA
rnacentral:misc_RNA from 1 species